AUUGAACGCUGGCGGCAUGCUUUACACAUGCAAGUCGAGCGGUAACAGGCCUUCGGGUGCUGACGAGUGGCGAACGGGUGAGUAAUGCAUCGGAACGUACCCAGAGGUGGGGGAUAACGCAGCGAAAGCUGUGCUAAUACCGCAUGUGAUCUGAGGAUGAAAGCGGGGGACCGAGCAGCAAUGUUUGGCCUCGCGCCUUUGGAGCGGCCGAUGUCGGAUUAGCUAGUUGGUGGGGUAAAGGCCUACCAAGGCGACGAUCCGUAGCUGGUCUGAGAGGACGACCAGCCACACUGGGACUGAGACACGGCCAAGACUCCUACGGGAGGCAGCAGUGGGGAAUUUUGGACAAUGGGCGCAAGCCUGAUCCAGCAAUGCCGCGUGCGGGAAGAAGGCCUUCGGGUUGUAAACCGCUUUUGGCAGGAACGAAACGGUGUCCGCUAAUACCGGGCGCUAAUGACGGUACCUGCAGAAUAAGCACCGGCUAACUACGUG
rnacentral:rRNA from 1 species